UGGGAAGCAGCGUAGCUUGGUAGCGCGUUUGUUUUGGGUACAAAAUGUCACGGGUUCAAAUCCUAUCCCAA
rnacentral:tRNA from 1 species